rnacentral:rRNA from 1 species
AGUGAACGCUGGCGGUAGGCCUAACACAUGCAAGUCGAACGGCAGCACAGUAAGAGCUUGCUCUUACGGGUGGCGAGUGGCGGACGGGUGAGGAAUACAUCGGAAUCUACUUUUUCGUGGGGGAUAACGUAGGGAAACUUACGCUAAUACCGCAUACGACCUACGGGUGAAAGCAGGGGAUCUUCGGACCUUGCGCGAUUGAAUGAGCCGAUGUCGGAUUAGCUAGUUGGCGGGGUAAAGGCCCACCCAGGCGACGAUCCGUAGCUGGUCUGAGAGGAUGAUCAGCCGCACUGGAACGGGAACACGGUCCAGGCUCCUACGGGAGGCAGCAGUGGGGAAUAUUGGACAAUGGGCGCAAGCCUGAUCCAGCCAUACCGCGUGGGUGGAGAAGGCCUUCGGGUUGUAAAGCCCUUUUGUUGGGAAAGAAAAGCAGCAGGUUAAUACCCCGCUGUUCUGACGGUACCCAAAGAAUAAGCACCGGCUAACUUCGUG